UGAGUAACUGACUGAAUGCAAGUGUAAUUUACCAAGAAGAAGAAUGCCAAAGGAGUCGGUUACUGUGAGAAAAAAAAUUAGGACUUUCAUUUUGAACAUGUAAAGCUUGAGAAACCUAUUAGAUGUCCAAGGGGACAUUUUGAAAAGGCACUUGAUGCAUAUGUCUUCAGUUAAGGAGGAAAGCUAGGCAGCUCAUAAAAUUGAGGACAAACCAGCAUCCAAAUGAUACUUACAAUAAUCUACCCAAGGAACAUUGGAAGGGAUGAAGACUGAAGAUGGCUCCAUGUUAUGCUCCAAUGUUUGAAUCCUGAGAAAUGAGGGUAAAGGAUCUUCUCUUUGAAGAGGGUUCAUAAAAGGUCUUGUAAUGAAGAAGUCACUUGAUCUUAUUACACUUAAACUAUGAGCAUUGAAGGAGAGUGCCUUUCCACAUGCAGUGCAAGAAACAGAAAAAGAAUAGCCACUGGAUCCUACAUAAGUACUAACUGGCUACUUAGAGCUGAUAAUUAUACAUAGUAAGUGACAGGAAAAUGCAAUCUCACACCACUGCAUCAAGAUCUACAGAAAUUUGUGGUACUUGUUAACACAUUAUAUCACAUAGACUGGAACAUGACCUGCAAUCAUCAGAACUUCCUAAAAGAAAAGAGCUUGAGACAGGAAGAGCACAUUUUGUCAAGUGUUAUAAACAGAAUGUUAUUCAAAGAAGCUAAGGGUAUUGCGUUACAUUAUUAAGUACAGGUUUGUUGAAGAAAUGUGUUUAAUGUUCAUGUACAGGAGAGCUGAGGAGGCCUAGAAGCAAUGCUAUCCCAGUAGCAACAAGUACAGCUGGUGCCCAAAUCUUGCUUCCUAAUACCAUUCUCCAAUAAAAAGAACCAGAAUUUGUUGGAGAUACAGCUGAUCCUGAGACUGAGGCAGAAAAUAUACAAGAUGACCCUGGAGCAUAUUGUAAUACCAGACAUUUCUGAAAAAAAAAAAAAGUAAUCAAACAACAACAACAAAAGUGAAGAGGAUAUGUCAAAUGGAGAUAGAAGCCUGUAGAAAGGACUCCCAGUGACCAAAGCUGGAACACUUUGGGCAGCAAAGUACAAAAAGCAGUAUUUUGAAUUCCAACCCAAACUUUAAAAUAAAUAUUCUCAAGUUCAUACUCAUAUAAAUGAUUAAAUAGAUAAAGAAAUAAAGAUGGAAGAAUAGAAAUCUCUCAUGCAAAAGAUUCCAAAUAAUUUAUGUAGACAGUCAUCUUUCAAAGAGGAGGAGUGAAACUCCCUCUAUUGAAGUAUGGACUCCGUGCCUUUAGUGUGGGCUGCAUAUAGUGACUGGGUGGAAAGGGUACCGUGAAGAAAUUUACAUUGGGAAGAUCUACUUCAGCCAGGUGAUCAAGAAUAAUACCAAUGUUGAUACCAUGUUGGUAGUAUGUAUCCCUGAUAUGAUGUGAUGAAAUAGGUUAUCUAUGUUUGUUUCACUCCUCAAAUCCGUAACACCAGUCUAAUGCAGAGGAAAACAUCAGGGAAAUACCACUUGAGGGACAUUCUUUAAAAUUCCUGACAAGUACUCUCAAAACUGUCAAGGUCAUCAAAAACAAGAGAAGUCAAAAACAUUAUAGCCAAAAGGAGCCUAAGGAGAGAGAGCAACUAAUUGUAAUGUUGUAUCCCAGAUGGGAUUCUAGAAGAGAAAAAUAACAUGUAAGUACAGAGUAGCUAUAUAAGUGAAGUAUAGACUUUAGUUAAUUUAUCAAUAUUGGUUCAUUAACUGUAACAAAUGUACUAUGUUAAUGUAAAAUAUCAAUAAUAGAGAAACCUGGGUACCAGGCAUGAGGUAACUAUUUGUGCUAUAUUUGCAAUUUUAUCUCUAAAUCUAAAACUCUUCUAAAUUAGCUUAUGUUUCAAAGUGCAAAAAAAAAAGGAAAAAAGAGAAUUGAGCAACAUAAAAAGGAAUAUAUUUGAUAUUGGAUGGAAGGAUAUUCUAAGCAUCAUCUAUCAUCUCAUGAUCACUAGGGAUGAGUAUUUUUAUAUGAUUGCUUAGGUGAGUGUUCCUAGUCCUUCUCCAGACUUGUUUCCAGAUCUCUUUAAUUAGUAUAAACAUACAAGGAGGGCAGAGUUUCUACACAGAAGAGUGUUGACUUUUUCUGUUACAGGAUGUAUGAAUACCAGUGCUUUCCCCUAAUAUCUUCAAGUAAAUCCCAAUAUUCUUGACUUUCUAAGCUCACAGUAGCAAAAUAAUCUUAAAAACUCCAUAUCAUAAAACAGAUAGGUCUGCACUACAAUAGUAUCGGUAAUGUGCACUUAUGUCUGUACUAUUGGAAGAUUCAAGAGUUGAGAAAAAGGACUUCUCAGCAACUUUAAUUUGGCAUCUCUGGAGAUAGUUUUAUGUAUUUAUUUUAUACAUAUUUAGGUAUUAUCUACUUUGUGUCAGGCUCUCUUUCCUAGAGAACAUGAAAGAUAAAGAUUUGUUCCUAUUCAGCUUGUAUUCAGUGGCGGACAUAUGAUUAUGGUAAAUGAGAUAUGGCUCCCUAUAAUAAUAAGUGCAAUAAAAAUUAAAAUAAGUAAGUAGUUAGAGCUACUUAGUGAACAAAGGAUAUACUCAUAGCAUGCGAGUGCAUCUCCAAGGAAGUAAUGUUUGAUUGAAAAGCAAAUAAUGAAUGGCAGCCGUGUGAAUAUCUGGGCAAGACUAUUUUAGGCAGAGAAAAUUAUAGGUACAAAUGCAUAGAGACCGCAAGGAAAAAAGUUCAAUGUGGAUGUAGGGUACAGUGAAUCUGUCAUUUUGGAAGCAACUAUGCAACCAAUUAGAUGGCAUUGCCAAGACUUAAUUAAGAGUUUUAUUGCAGCUGCAGUGAAAAAUACAAAAGAAAGAGGAAACAAAAAGGUUUUCCAGCCAGUGUGAAAUAGAAAAGAGUGAAUGAUAAUUAUUAAUAAGUAUUUCAGUUCAUGUUUUCUUAAAAGUUAUACCAUAUGGCUUAGUUUUUCAUUUAUGCUUUUGUGGAUUUGGCCAUUGCCAGCCAAACCAUUGCAAAUAGUAAAAACAAUAACAAAAAUCCGAAAGUAUGCAAAGGACCAGGCAUUGUGGCUCAGGCCUGUAAACCCAGCACUUCAGGAGGCCAAGGCAGGCUCAUGGCUUGAGCUUAGGGCUUUGAUACCAGCCUGGGAAACAUGGUGAAACCUCAUCUCUACAAAAUAAUAAUAAUAAUAAUAAUAAUAAUAAUAAUACAAAAAUUAGCCGAGUGUGGUGGUGUGUGCUUGUGGUCCUAGCUACUUGGGGGUCUGAGGCUGGAGGUUCACUUAAGUACAGGAGGUUGAGGCUGCAAUGAGUCAUGGUUAUACCACUGCACUCCAGCUUGGGUGACAGA